AGAAAUGCUUUUUGCGGUAUGUAGAAGAAGCCAUUGUCCGGCGAUAAUUUAAUAAAAAGCGAGAAAACAUCGAACCAUGCAAACAAAGCUUCCAAAGAAAUGUCCACACUGUACAGGCUCUGGUGGAAUGCUAUCCCGGACAUCGUAUCCGGAUCCGGAUCCCGGACACGCUCUAAGAAAACAUCGAUCCAUCGAAUUCCAAGGAAAUGUCCACACGGUACGGUAUCCAGAUCCGGAUCCCAGGCACGCUCAGAGGUGGUGGCUUCACUUGGAUUACUUUUCAUCGAUUUUCGGUGUUAUACUUCAAAAGGAAAGCAAGGUGAGUACCGUUGUCACAAUUAUUUACUAUUUACUUAUUAAACUGAUCUUUUUCAAGAUUUAAAUUUUAAUUCUUGUGGAUCCAAUCUAUAAACACAAAAAAAAUAUUGAUAAUUACGUGUAACUGAAAGUUGUUGCCUUUAAAACAAUUCAACAAGUAAUGGAAAAAAAAUCGUUUUGAUUUAGCACUACCUAUCAGACAGAAAACACUAUCUCUUCAUUUAAGUCAGCUUUCUCUUUAGAAUAAAUUUUUAGAGAGUAAUAGAAUAGUACAGACUAGAACUAAUUUAUUCACUUGUUACUAUCGAAUUGUAUUUCCUUGACCCUAACUAUGAUUUUAUAUCGAUGGGCUGACGUUAAAUCAAUAAAGCACAAUUACGAUAUUAAAUAAAAAAUGAUUUGAUUUUACAACAAAUGUCCUGUAACAAAAAGGAGCAUGACAUUUGUCGUAGUUUUACCGUUCAAAACAAAUUACAGCGUAAAAAUUACAGGUUCAAUAAUUAUUUUCAAGUUUUCAAUCCCACUUCAUCAAUUUCCUGUUCUGUUUAUAAGUAGACUAUAUCAAUCACGUUAUUUAAGUUAGAUUUAUUAUAAGUUGGAGCUGGCUUCUUAUUAUAUAUUGAUAGAUGAUAUGAACUAACAUCCUAUUUUGCUUUUCCUUUUUUCUCUUGUCUUUUUGUAUUUCUUUUCAUGUUGCUUUCUGAUGAUGGCGAAUUCGCGUCAAGUUUGGAAAACUCGAACAACCUUCAAGCCAUCUCUUCACAACAUUGUACCCCGAAGAUGGAUUUCGCAUGAUGUAGUUGUCAUCCCAAGGAUUUAAUCAACACCUGAAAAUGGACGAAUUGCUUAACAAGAAGAAGCUUGCGCCAGACAUCGCAAUGUCUUGUAGCAGAAGAGGUAACAAAAAAUAAAUUAGAAGAAAAAAACGGAAAAAUAAAAAACAAAUGAAAUAAAAGUCUCUAGCUUUUUGUAAACAAACCGAAAAACCUAAAUGAAUGGCAACCAUGCUAAUUGGUCCAGA